rnacentral:rRNA from 1 species
GAUGAACGCUGGCGGCGUGCCUAAUACAUGCAAGUCGAGCGAACAGACGAGGAGCUUGCUCCUCUGACGUUAGCGGCGGACGGGUGAGUAACACGUGGAUAACCUACCUAUAAGACUGGGAUAACUUCGGGAAACCGGAGCUAAUACCGGAUAAUAUAUUGAACCGCAUGGUUCAAUAGUGAAAGACGGUUUUGCUGUCACUUAUAGAUGGAUCCGCGCCGCAUUAGCUAGUUGGUAAGGUAACGGCUUACCAAGGCAACGAUGCGUAGCCGACCUGAGAGGGUGAUCGGCCACACCUGAACCGAGACCCCGUCCCGACUCCUACGGGAGGCCGCCGUUGGGAAUUCUGCCGCAUUGGCGAAAGCCUGACCGAGCCACCGCCCCUGGGUUAAGAAGGUCCUUCGGUUCGAAAAACCCUUUUUUAGGGAAGAACAAAUGUGUAAGUAACUAUGCACGUCUUGACGGUACCUAAUCAGAAAGCCACGGCUAACUACGUG